rnacentral:rRNA from 1 species
CGUGAAGCUGGAUUCGCUAGUAAUCGCGCAUCAGCCAUGGCGCGGUGAAUACGUUCCCGGGCCUUGUACACACCGCCCGUCAAGCCAUGGGAGCCGGGGGCGCCUGAAGUGCGGUACCGCGAGGGCUGCCCAAGGGCGAGACCGGUGACUGGGCUAAGUCGUAACAAGGUAAC